GCCUGAGAAGGCGGACCCGCGAGGGCCGCUGGAGGUAUCGGAAGUGCGAAUGCUGACAUGAGUAACGUUAAAGCGGGUGAAAAGCCCGCUAGCCGCAAGCCCAAGGUUUCCUGCUCUACGUUCAUCGGAGCAGGGUGAGUCGGCCCCUAAGGCGAGGCUGAGAAGCAUAGCUGAUGGGAACCAGGUUAAUAGUCCUGGACCGAUUGCAGGUGCGAAGGAGGGACGGAGUGCUGAAGGUCAUCUGGGUGUUGGAUAUCCCGGUUUGCGAGCGUAGGAAGCCGGCAGGCAAAUCCGCCGGCGAAUUUCCGAGGCGAAGCAUCGAGGCUGGUUUCAGCUGAAGUGACUGAAUGGACUUCCAGGAAAAGCUUCUAAGCAUCAGCCUGCAAUUGACCGUACCGCAAACCGACACUGGUGGGCGAGCUGAAUAUGCUCAGGCGCUUGAGAGAACUCAGGAGAAGGAACUCGGCAAAUUGACACCGUAACUUCGGGAUAAGGUGUGCCUUUGUAGUGUGAAGGGAGAAACGCCCCGAGCAUGAAGAGGUCUCAGAGAAUUGGUGGCUGCAACUGUUUACUAAAAACACAGCACUCUGCAAAGACGCAAGUCGAAGUAUAGGGUGUGACACGUGACCAAUGCCGAAAGAUUAAGGCAAGGGGUUAGCCGCAAGGCGAAGCUCUAAACCCAAGUCCCGGUGAAUGUCGGCCGUAACUAUAACGGUCCUAAGGUAGCGAAAUUCCUUGUCGGGUAAGUUCCGACCUGCACGAAUCGUGAAACGAGUUGGGCACUGUCUCAACCAGGCGCUCAGUGAAAUUGUAGUGGCGGUGAAGAUGCCGCCUACCCGCAGAAGGACGGAAAGACCCUAUAGACCUUAACUGUAAGCUGUCAUUGUUUCUUCGGUUUUAAUGCUCAGAGUAAGUGGGAGACGCUGAAGACGCCCUUUAGGGGGCGUCCGAGUCAUCAAUGAGACACCACCCUUUGAAACUGGAGGAUCUAACCCUGAGCCGUGAAUCCGGCCAGAGGACCGUGUCAGCCGGUCAGUUUUACUGGGGCGGUAUCCUCCCAAAGAGUAACGGAGGAGCGCGAAGGUGGGCUCAGCCCGGUUGGCAACCGGGUGUCGAGUGCAUGGGCAUAAGCCCGCCUAACUGUGAGACCAACAAGUCGAGCAGAUGCGAAAGCAGGCCCAAGUGAUCCGGCGGUAGAAAGUGGAAUUGCCGUCGCUCAACGGAUAAAAGGUACCUUAGGGAUAACAGGCUGAUCACGCCCAAGAGUUCAUAUCGACGGCGUGGUUUGGCACCUCGAUGUCGGCUCGUCGCAUCCUGGGGCUGGAGAAGGUCCCAAGGGUCCGGCUGUUCGCCGGUUAAAGCGGCACGCGAGCUGGGUUCAGAACGUCGCGAGACAGUUCGGUCCUCUAUCCUCUGUGGGCGUUGGAAAAUUGAGGGGUUCAGACCUUAGUACGAGAGGACCGGGUCUGACGCACCACUGGUGCAUCGGUUGUACUGUCAAGUGCAUGGCCGAGUAGCUAAGUGCGGACGGGAUAAGCGCUGAAAGCAUCUAAGCGCCAAGCCCUUCCCAAGAUGAGUUUUCCCUACAGGUUCGUGGAAGACCACCACGUUGAUAGGUCGCAGGUGUAAGUGCAGCAAUGUAUUGAGCCGAGCGAUACUAAUUACCAAUUGACUUCAUC
rnacentral:rRNA from 1 species